CCAAGAUCUCCACUACAGUGAAUAUAGUGGAUGUUGUACUGCCUCCAAAGCCCAAGACCAGAGAAAAGUUGUUACAAUAUUCCUGUCAGCUCACACUGGACCCAAACACAGCACACACACACCUCUCUCUGUCUGAAGGGAACAGAAAGGUGACCUGUUUUGGCACAGUCGAACCAUAUCCUUACCAUCCAGACAGAUUCACCAACAGGUACCAGGUUCUGUGUAGAGAGGGUCUGUCUGGAUGCUGUUACUGGGAGGUGGAGAGGAGUGGGGACAGGGUUGAUACAGCAGUCUCAUAUAAAGACAUCAGCAGAACAGGGUCAGAUAGUGGAUUUGGAGACAAUAACAAGUCCUGGAGUUUACAGUGCUAUAGUGAUGGUUAUUGUUUCAGACACAAUAAUGUUGUGACUAAUGUAUCAGGCCCUCAGUCCUCCAGAGUUUGAGUGUACCUGGAUCACAAGGCAGGUACUCUGUCCUUCUACAGUGUCUCUGACACAAUGACCCUCCUCCACAGAGUCCAGACCACAUUCACUCAGCCCCUCAAUCCUGGGUUUAGUCUCUAU